UACGAAGGGGGCUAGCGUUGUUCGGAAUUACUGGGCGUAAAGCGCACGUAGGCGGAUAUUUAAGUCAGGGGUGAAAUCCCAGAGCUCAACUCUGGAACUGCCUUUGAUACUGGGUAUCUUGAGUAUGGAAGAGGUAAGUGGAAUUGCGAGUGUAGAGGUGAAAUUCGUAGAUAUUCGGAAGAACACCAGUGGCGAAGGCGGCUCACUGGCCCGUUACCGACGCUCAGGCGCGACAGCGUGGGGAGCAAACAGG
rnacentral:rRNA from 1 species